rnacentral:RNase_P_RNA from 1 species
CCAGCAGACCGCCUUAUCGCUGUCCCGAUUCGUUGGGAGAGAGGAAAGUCCGGACACCAAAGAGUAGCAUAGCGGGUAACACCCGUCGCUCGUUUUUUGAACGAGAAGGACCAGUGCAACAGAAAGGAUGUACAGUUCGGCUGUAGUGAAAUCAGGUAAACUCUAUGCGGUGCAAUGCCAUGUAUACCGGCAGUUAAGGGUUACUCGUCCGUUGCCGGGGGGUAGGCAGAUGGAUCGCGUUAGUAAUAACGCGGCUAGAUAAAUGAUAAGGGUUCCGAGUAUUUGGAAUACAGAAUCCGGCUUACAGGUCUGCUUUUUUA